UGCCAGACUCCUACGGGAGGCAGCAGUGAGGAAUAUUGGUCAAUGGGCGGAAGCCUGAACCAGCCAAGUCGCGUGAGGGAAUAAGGCCCUACGGGUCGUAAACCUCUUUUGCCGGGGAGCAAGGGCGGGGACGUGUCCCGGCCCGGAGAGUACCCGGAGAAAAAGCAUCGGCUAACUCCGUGCCAGCAGCCGCGGUAAUACGGAGGAUGCGAGCGUUAUCCGGAUUUAUUGGGUUUAAAGGGUGCGUAGGCGGAAGGUUAAGUCAGCGGUCAAAUGUCGGUGCUCAACACCGGCCUGCCGUUGAAACUGGUCUUCUUGAGUGGGCGAGAAGUAUGCGGAAUGCGUGGUGUAGCGGUGAAAUGCAUAGAUAUCACGCAGAACUCCGAUUGCGGAGGCAGCAUACCGGCGCCCAACUGACGCUGAAGCACGAAAGCGUGGGUAUCGAACAGGAUUAGAUACCCCAGUA
rnacentral:rRNA from 1 species